rnacentral:rRNA from 1 species
UACGUAGGUGACAAGCGUUGUCCGGAUUUACUGGGCGUAAAGAGCGCGCAGGCGGUCGAUCAAGUCGAGUGUGAAAGCCCCCGGCUCAACUGGGGAGGGUCAUUCGAUACUGAUCGACUCGAAGGCAGGAGAGGGUAGUGGAAUUCCCGGUGUAGUGGUGAAAUGACGUAGAUAUCGGGAGGAACACCAGUGGCGAAGGCGACUACCUGGCCUGUUCUUGACGCUGAGGCGCGAAAGCUAGGGGAGCAAACGGG